ACAGCACUUCGGUGGCUGACGAGUGGCGAACGGGUGAGUAAUACAUCGGAACGUGCCCGAGAGUGGGGGAUAACGCAGCGAAAGCUGUGCUAAUACCGCAUACGAUCUACGGAUGAAAGCAGGGGACCGCAAGGCCUUGCGCUCAUGGAGCGGCCGAUGGCAGAUUAGGUAGUUGGUGGGAUAAAAGCUUACCAAGCCGACGAUCUGUAGCUGGUCUGAGAGGACGACCAGCCACACUGGGACUGAGACACGGCCCAGACUCCCACGGGAGGCAGCAGUGGGGAAUUUUGGACAAUGGGCGAAAGCCUGAUCCAGCCAUGCCGUGUGCAGGAUGAAGGCCUUCGGGUUGUAAACUGCUUUUGUACGGAACGAAAAGGUCUUUUCUAAUAAAGAAGGCUCAUGACGGUACCGUAAGAAUAAGCACCGGCUAACUACGUGCCAGCAGCCGCGGUAAUACGUAGGGUGCAAGCGUUAAUCGGAAUUACUGGGCGUAAAGCGUGCGCAGGCGGUUAUAUAAGACAGAUGUGAAAUCCCCGGGCUCAACCUGGGAACUGCAUUAGUGACUGUAUAGCUAGAGUGCGGCAGAGGGGGAUGGAAUUCCGCGUGUAGCAGUGAAAUGCGUAGAUAUGCGGAGGAACACCGAUGGCGAAGGCAAUCCCCUGGGCCUGUACUGACGCUCAUGCACGAAAGCGUGGGGAGCAAACAGGAUUAGAUACCCUGGUAGUCCACGCCCUAAACGAUGUCAACUGGUUGUUGGGUCUUCACUGACUCAGUAACGAAGCUAACGCGUGAAGU
rnacentral:rRNA from 1 species